ACUACUAACAGGUAGGCAGUCUUCGUUGAAACCAUGGUGGGCAUAGUCUCUCCUACUUCCCUCUUCCCAUUUUGUUUCAUUUUCAUUUUUGAAGCAAGGUCUUGUUAUGUAACUCUGGCCUAGAACUCACUGUGUAGACGAAGCUGAAUUCAUCGUCUUCCUGCUCUUCCCUUCCAAGUACUGGGAUUAACAGACACGAAGGAGCUUCAGUGGAAUGUGCCUGUGUGGAUCCUUGAAGACUCAAUAGGUCACAGGCAAGGAAAGAGGAUGAAGUAAUGAUGUAUCCUUGAUGAGAAAACACUGUGCAGAGUUAAAAAGACACCAAGUAAAGCCAUGCCAAUGUAAUUAUAA